GGCUAACGCUGGCGGCGCGCCUAACACAUGCAAGUCGAACGAACCCUUCGUGCUUAUUGGCAGACCGGUGAGUAACGCGUGGUUAAUGUGCCUCUUUUCUGGUGAUACCGUUCCUAAAGGAACUUUAAUACCCUAUGUCCUUUUUUGGCGGCAUCCUCCAGCAAGUUAACGGUUAGGGUGAAGUGAGCCGUCCGCGUUCUAUCAGCUAGUUGGGGAGGUAACUUCUCACCAAGGCUACGACGGAUAACUUGUCUGAGAGGAUGAUCAGUCAGACUGGAACGGAGAGACGGUACAGACACGUGCGGGAGGAAGGAGAGAGGAAGCAUGAAGAAUGGGCGCAAGACUGAUGAAGGGAGGGUGCGGGAGGGAGGAAGGCGGUCGGGUUGUAAAACUCUGUCAGUAGGGAAGGAGAAUGACGGUAACGAGUGAGGAAGCACCGGCUAACUACGUG
rnacentral:rRNA from 1 species